UACGUAGGGUGCGAGCGUUGUCCGGAAUUAUUGGGCGUAAAGAGCUUGUAGGCGGUUUGUCGCGUCUGCCGUGAAAAUCCGAGGCUCCAACCGUCGGACUUGCGGUGGGUACGGGCAGACUAGAGUGUGGUAGGGGAGACUGGAAUUCCUGGUGUAGCGGUGAAAUGCGCAGAUAUCAGGAGGAACACCGAUGGCGAAGGCAGGUCUCUGGGCCACUACUGACGCUGAGAAGCGAAAGCAUGGGGAGCGAACAGG
rnacentral:rRNA from 1 species